AUAUUGCGCAAUGGGCGAAAGCCUGACGCAGCGACGCCGCGUGGAGGAUGAAGGUCUUCGGAUUGUAAACUCCUGUCAGGCGGGACGAAGGCUGCAGGGCAAACAGUCCUGUAGCUUGACGGUACUGCCAGAGGAAGCCCCGGCUAACUCCGUGCCAGCAGCCGCGGUAAUACGGAGGGGGCGAGCGUUAUUCGGAAUUAUUGGGCGUAAAGGGCGCGUAGGCGGCCCGGUAAGUCAAAGGUGAAAUCCCUCGGCUCAACUGAGGAACUGCCUUUGAAACUGUCGGGCUUGAGGCCGGGAGGGGGUAGCGGAAUUCCCAGUGUAGCGGUGAAAUGCGUAGAUAUUGGGAGGAACACCGGUGGCGAAGGCGGCUACCUGGACCGGUUCUGACGCUGAUGCGCGAAAGCGUGGGUAGCAAAC
rnacentral:rRNA from 1 species